AGUUGUUUGGAUGUGCCACUGUCUAAGACUGUGGUUUCCUGCCAACUCAGACAUUUCUGAACUCUUGGAUACUCGGUGCGUUCUCUGUAGAAGUUUAAAACCUGAUCACUGAUCACAUGUUUUGUUGUAAAGCUUGCCACAGCUUUAUGCAACAGAAACUUGUUAACAAUUUGAACAGCGACAGAUUUGGUUCCAUGAAACAACUUCAACAAGUUGCCAUUUGCACUUUCAAAGACAAAAGCAGAAUGUGCCCACAGUGGACCCCAGAGUUUCACUGACUUUGCAAGGAGGAAGAUGGCUGAAACCAGUAAACUGAGAUGUUUUAAGUACCGAGACUCAAGAACACCCUCAAGACAUGGCAAACAAUAAAAGAGCAACCAAGCUCUCCAUUCUGAUGCCUUCCAAUAUCGGAACUCUUCAAGUGGCCUAGGGCUGGUCAGUACUCUGAAGUAAAAGCUCUGUUAACUGUCUGGUUACUCCAAGAAGAACAGCAUGCAUAUAAUCCGGUACAAACCCCCAUACAAUGUCAAAGUUCGGCAUGUUCAUGAGAUGUGAUGGACCUUUAACUCCUCUGACAGAUCUUUCUUCAACUAAGGCUGCCUCCAUAUCUCUCCUCAUAGACUCUGAGUCUCGGUCAUCAGGUUGCGAUUCUAGGACGGUGUACUUAACCUGCCUUUCCACUAAAACACCAGGAUGAAGACAGAAGCCACACCCAUAAUAACCGUUAAACUGAGUGGUGUUUUGCAUUGAAGGUCUUGCCUUGGAGUCAACACAGCAGCAGAUGCCAACAAUUUUCCUGUUUUGUUGAACACCAUUUUUCCUCCACAACACUCCUUUUGAAACAAGUAACUUUGCUUGAUCUGUAAAUGGUUUCAGGUAAACUUGCAUAGCUGGCUCUUGCUUUCCGAACCACAGACCAGCAAGUAUUACAUGCUUGAAUCGUAUUUGGGGGGGCAGUUCAUUUAAGUGUAGCUGAAUUGGCCAAAUAGAGAACUUUGAAGAUUUGUAUAAAGGAGACCCAUCAGAAUUAAAGUUGUACGAAAAAUUGUUAGGAUGUGAAAGAAUGCCAUUAGGUUGGGACAACUGUUUAUACAUGACACCAUCAUAUAUAUCUGAGAUGUCAUUCCCUACACUGUGUGGCCUCUCAAAUCGCUAGUUGAUAUGUUUUUGAAUU